rnacentral:misc_RNA from 1 species
GAUAUAACUCCAACGGAUCACCAGCACUUGCUUUAUCAUCAAAUUGAGCUCCCCAGCCCAGGUUUUCGGGAGCCUUUGUUGCAGCUACUGGAGUCAAAGCUUUAGCAUCAUCAAAUUCACUUUCAGAAGAACUAUCAGAGUCAGAGUCUGAAAUGUACGAAUAGAAAAAGGGAAAAGGUUACCAGUUCUGUAAAAGAAUCUAAUGAGUUCAAUUCCAAUUUACACAAAGAUUUUCUUUGGAAGUUAGAAACUUGCCAUAAGAUCAUAGCAUGUGGGAGCCGAUACAUGUCACAAUGAACUAUAUUGGCUUGGAUUCCAGAAAAGCAAGCAAGAAAAAACUUGUCAAUCCAACUCUUGAAGGAUUUGAUAUUCUUGUACCAUUUCUUCUAAAAAAAUAUGAAAUAAUUUAUAUAUAUUAUCCUAAUUUUGUCAGAGGGCAGGAAACUUAUCCUCAAAGCCUUUUCAUUUUUUGUUCAAUAGAUGAAAGAAAUUAGUAACCUUUUGAUAGAUACUAUCUACCAGAAACAGGGACAGAGGGAGGUUAGGGUCUUCCCCACGAAACUUAUCCUCAAAGCAUUUUCAUUUUUUUGUUCAAUUGAUGAAAGAAAUUAGUAACUUUUUGAUAGAUACUAUCUACCAGAAACAGGGACAGAGGGAGGUUAGGGUCUUCCCCACGAAACUUAUCCUCAAAGCAUUUUCAUUUUUUUGUUCAAUUGAUGAAAGAAAUUAGUAACU